rnacentral:rRNA from 1 species
UACAGAGGGUGCAAGCGUUAAUCGGAGUUACUGGGCGUAAAGGGUGCGUAGGUUGUUGCAUAAGUUAGUUGUGAAAUCCCCGGGCUCAACCUGGGAACUGCAACUGAUACUGUGUGACUAGAGUACUGUAGAGGGUAGUGGAAUUUCCGGUGUAGCGGUGAAAUGCGUAGAGAUCGGAAGGAACACCAGUGGCGAAGGCGGCUACCUGGACAGAUACUGACACUGAGGCACGAGAGCGUGGGGAGCAAACAGG